GAUGAACGCUAGCUACAGGCUCAACACAUGCAAGUCGAGGGGUAACAAGAGAAAAGCUUGCUUUUCUUGUUGACGACCGGCGCACGGGUGAGUAACGCGUAUCCAACCUGCCUAUAACUAGGGAAUAACCUUGCGAAAGUAAGACUAAUACCCUAUGAUUUCCUUUGAUGACAUCAGAUUAGGAAUAAAGAUUUAUCGGUUAUAGAUGGGGAUGCGUCUGAUUAGCUUGUUGGCGGGGUAACGGCCCACCAAGGCAACGAUCAGUAGGGGUUCUGAGGGGAAGGUCCCCCACAUUGGAACUGAGACACGGUCCAAACUCCUACGGGAGGCAGCAGUGAGGAAUAUUGGUCAAUGGGCGGAAGCCUGAACCAGCCAAGUAGCGUGCAGGAUGACGGCCCUAUGGGUUGUAAACUGCUUUUAUACAGGAAUAAAGUUAGCCACGUGUGGUUAUUUGUAGGUACUGUAUGAAUAAGGACCGGCUAAUUCCGUGCCAGCCGCCGCGGUAA
rnacentral:rRNA from 1 species